ensembl:misc_RNA Metazoa_SRP Metazoan signal recognition particle RNA
CCUGGGCUUGGUGGCGCAUGCCUGUAAUGCUAGAUAUAAGAGGUUAAAGCUCAAGUAUCUCUUGAGCUUGGAGUUCUGAGCUGUAGUGGGUUUUGCUGAUUGGGUGUUUGUACUGUUUGCCAUUAAAAUGGUGAGCCCCUGGGAGCAGGGGGACCACAAGGGUCAGCCUGGUCCAGGUAGGAAAUAGGGCAGGUUGAUGCUCUCAUACCAAUCAGUAGUGGGGUUGGGACUCUUGAAUAGUCCCUGCACUUCUACUUUGAGCAAGAAAGGGAAUUGUUUUAUU